rnacentral:rRNA from 1 species
AUUGAACGCUGGCGGAAUGCUUUACACAUGCAAGUCGAACGGCAGCACGGACUUCGGUCUGGUGGCGAGUGGCGAACGGGUGAGUAAUGUAUCGGAACGUGCCCAGUCGUGGGGGAUAACGUAGUGAAAAUUACGCUAAUACCGCAUACGAUCUAUGGAUGAAAGCGGGGGAUCGCAAGACCUCGCGCGAUUGGAGCGGCCGACAUCAGAUUAGGUAGUUGGUGGGGUAAAGGCCCACCAAGCCAACGAUCUGUAGCUGGUCUGAGAGGACGACCAGCCACACGGGAACUGAGACACGGUCGAGACUCCUACGGGAGGCAGCAGUGAGGAAUUUUGGACAAUGGGCGAAAGCCUGAUCCAGCCAUUCCGCGUGCAGGAUGAAGGCCCUCGGGUUGUAAACUGCUUUUGUACAGAACGAAAAGGUUUCUACUAAUACUAGGAGCUCAUGACGGUACUGUAAGAAUAAGCACCGGCUAACUACGUGCCAGCCGCCGCGGUAA